GAAAUCCUGGUUACCUAGAUUUCCUUCCUAAGAGAGUGCUUUGUAGAACAUGAACACAUGCUGUGGGUCUCUGAGAGGGGGCUACAGAAUACACCCCUUCCCUCCAUUUUGUGACCACAGAAUCUUUUUUUCCUCCUCUAAGUAUCCCAAGAGACUGUAGAUUCGUGCAGUUGAGAAACACUGAGCUAAAGUAUUCAUCAGAGAAAAGCACUACGUGUGGAAUCAUUUUCACCUUCGAGCCAGGCUUCUGGCUUCAGACACUGGAUCCUCUCAGCCUUUUGUCAUGUGGGUGGGUGGCCCCAUUCCCCAUUUGAAGGUAGAACUGGAUGGAACCGAGAAUGACCAACAGUCCACUCCAGAAGCUCAACACGAGGCACUGGGCCUUUGGGAAGAUAUUUAUUGAGCACCUAUUGGGUGCCAUCAGUUUGCUCAGGAGCUUUGUAGAAGGAGCCCUGUAAGAGAUGCGUAUUCCAGGCGCACAGUCAGAAGCCAGCCAGACAAGCCCAGGAAGGAGUACUACAUUGAUUCAUGACCAGACCUGCCGAUUUCCCACUCAUCCUAAUCAUUCUUCUAAGGAGGGGCUCCAGGCUGCUGGAGAAGCCAGUACCUUGCGCGUUGCAGUUGCCAGAAAGAGGGAAGAAGUCAGUGGCCAAGUAUGCCAGCUCUUAUCACCUACCCAUCUGCUCACAUUUUAUUGGCUAAAGCAAGUCAUGAAGGUAUCUUCACUUCUCGUGAGCAGCAGAGGGCAGGCGGCAGCAUGCAGCCUGCAGAGAGAGCUGGGCUAUUUGUGA
rnacentral:lncRNA from 1 species